rnacentral:rRNA from 1 species
GUGAGGAAUUUUCCGCAAUGGGCGAAAGCCUGACGGAGCAAUGCCGCGUGAAGGAUGAAGGCCUAUGGGUUGUAAACUUCUUUUCUCAGAAAAGAAUUAUGACGGUAUCUGAGGAAUAAGCAUCGGCUAACUCUGUGCCAGCAGCCGCGGUAAGACAGAGGAUGCAAGCGUUAUCCGGAAUGAUUGGGCGUAAAGCGUCUGUAGGUUGUUUAAAAAGUAUUCUGUCAAAGAUUAGGGCUUAACCCUAGAUAGGCAGAAUAAACUUUUAAGCUAGAGUUUGGUAGAGGCAGAGGGAAUUCCCGGUGGAGCGGUGAAAUGCGUAGAUAUCGGGAGGAACACCAAAGGCGAAGGCACUCUGCUGGGCCAAUACUAACACUGAGAGACGAAAGCGAGGGGAGCAAAUGGGAUUAGAAACCCUUGGUCC